rnacentral:rRNA from 1 species
UACGGGGGGGGCAAGCGUUGUUCGGAAUUACUGGGCGUAAAGGGCUCGUAGGCGGCCAACUAAGUCGGAUGUGAAAUCCCCAGGCUUAACCUGGGAACUGCAUCCGAUACUGGAUGGCUUGAAUUCGGGAGAGGGAUGCAGAAUUCCAGGUGUAGCGGUGAAAUGCGUAGAUAUCUGGAGGAAUACCGGUGGCGAAGGCGACAUCCUGGACCGGUAUUGACGCUGAGGCGCGAAAGCCAGGGGAGCAAACGGG